UUGGUAAAUGAGAUUGCCGGUGGCCAAUGACUAGGCAGAGAGGCGGGACUUUAGGAUUCGUGGGGAAGGGAACUGAGAAGAAAAAGAAUCAGCAGGCCAUGAAGGGAAUAGGACCCAGGCUUGAGAGCUGCAGAAGAGAAAGCAACAAUCGUGGAAGCGUCUGGAAAGAGCAGCCCCAGGACUGCCCCCGUUGGGUCUAAGGGUCUCUUCACCAGAGACAGAGGCCAAGAAACUGGCUCCUGGCCCCGCAGGGAACCCACCCAGAUUAGGGCUUCAACUCGGUAAAAGGUAAGGAGCAUCUCCAGAUUUGCCACCAGGCUCUGUAAACAGGUCUCAACAAUAAUUUGGCCAAGGUUUAGAUAUGAUAUUAGAUAAGAGAACACAGAGAAUUCUAGUACAGUAGCCUUGGCUUUCACCAAUUAGUUAGUGCCAAAUAUUAGAGAAAAGUUAAAGGUGCAAGGAGCAUGGAGAAGAGUGCAGAUCAAGACAGGAAAAAAUUAGAGACCUUCUAGCCAACAACAUCUCGGAUCCAGGAGAAAAGAAAUUCCAAGCUUCAAUAAAUUAACUUUGGGACUUGACUACCCCCGCCCCUGCAAUUCUAAUUGCCUACAUGCUUCACUAUCAGACUUUACUAAUCAACCCUGGCUGAGAUAUUUUCCAGCCACCUGUUUCCCUGAGCCCUGUGACUCUCCUACCCGAUCCUGACUUGGACUGUCCACUCCAUUGAAAAAUGACUCUCCUCUGUCAGAGACAGAGCAGACCUGGUGUACAGACAGAAGCAGCUUCAUCCAUGGAGGUCAGAGGAGAGCAGGGGCAGCGCUGACAACGGAAAUGGAGGUAGUCUGGACUCAGUCUCUUCCUCCAGGCACUUCAAUGCAAAGGGCCAAGUUAAUAACAUUAACACAGGCCCUCAUAAUGGGAAAAGGAACCACUGGCUAGAGAUAACAGCCUGGCUGCCAAGGCUGCCAAGGAGGUAGCCUUAAAGGAAACAGCUAUCUCUAGAUUGACCGCUGUCCUACCUGAACCACCCAGAGUACCUAAUGUAUGCAGAAAAAGAAAUAAAAUGGGCUGGCAGGGAUUGACUGAAGGUAAGCUAACAUUACCCACCUCUUUAACAAGAUCUGUUCUCAGAAAGAUCUACAGAGUACUACUUGGGAGUAAAACGAGUGACAGACACAGUGAAACAAUAUAAAAUGCCUUCUUCUGCCUAACCUUGACUCCCCAGAGCCAGGAGUACUUGGCUUUUGAGUGGAAAGAUCUCGAGACGGGGAAUCACAGCACCAGGCUGCCCCAGGGCUUCAAGAACUCUCCAACCCUCUUCAAUGAGGCCCCAUAUCAUGACCUUACCGUCUAUCAUUGAGUCUAACCCAUAGGUGACCCUCCUGCAAUAUGUGGAUGACCUUUUAAUCACAGCCGAGACUGAGGAAGACUGUCUCAGGGGCAUAAAGCAGCUGCUGAUAGAACUGAGCAAAUUGGGUCAUCGAGUCUCACCCAAGAAAGCCCAAACCUGUCAAUGUAAGACCCUCAAACAAGUGCAAGAAAGGCUGGAUGACCCUUUUUCUGGGGCGAGGGAGAACUCCAGACAUUUGAUGCCAUUAAGAGGGCUCUUUUGGAAGCACCUGUGCUAGGACUGCCUGACGUCAGCAAGUCCUUUCAUCUCUUUGUGGCUGAGAACCUCCAAGACCUGACACGCGAGAACUAGCCUCCUUCUCCUAUGCUUGUCAAAGCUGGCUUCAUUAACAGACAGAUCUUCCCAGCAGUGCAGUGGUGAUAAAAGCUCACUGGAUACAACAAGCCCAGGACAGAGGUCAUCAUGGUUACCACCACUGCUAGGAGAAUCCACUUUGCUAUGGGCACAGCCCUUAACACCAAAAAGGGGAACAUUGAGAACCCCUGGGAGGGUGUAAUUGUUACCCAUAGACUGUACCUAUGGCUUUUAAACGACCUCGCCUCCCUCCUUGGAAAAAUCUUGAACAGUACGCUGAGUCUGAUCUGAAAGUCAUUUCACUCUACCAAAUGUGCAUAGUAUCCUGCCUAGUUACCUCUGUGCAAAUUCUGCCCCAAUUGUUUACAAGGUUACUCUCUGUUAGAGUCUGCUUAAGUCUCUCCUUGAAGUGGGAUGACCCUGACUUGUUGGAAUGAUUAAACUCUUCUUGCUUUUGCAUUGA
rnacentral:sRNA from 1 species